AGAACUUGCUAAACAUAUUGCUGAGGAGGAUGACGACGAAUUCUGAUGACAGGUCUUUGCAUCGGUGCACUCUAGGAUUCUCUCCCGUGUCGCGCCAUGGUUGUCAGAUCUUCGUACGAUGAUGUUCCUCUCACUGUCACUGAUGGAGGCUACUAGCAUUCAAAUUUGUGCAUGCACUUUGAUUCAUUGAACAGCGAAGAACUCCAUUGUCAAUGUUGAACAUGGUUGAAAUGCAAGUUUAUCCACAUUUAUUUUUUUAAAAAUACAUUCUGUGUUUCGUUCAAUGAAAUUGC
rnacentral:lncRNA from 1 species